rnacentral:rRNA from 1 species
AUACGGAGGGGGCUAGCGUUGUUCGGAAUUACUGGGCGUAAAGCGCGCGUAGGCGGAUCGUUAAGUCAGGGGUGAAAGCCCGGAGCUCAACUCCGGAACUGCCCUUGAUACUGGCGAUCUCGAGUCCGGGAGAGGCGAGCGGAAUUCCUAGUGUAGAGGUGAAAUUCGUAGAUAUUAGGAGGAACACCAGUGGCGAAGGCGGCUCACUGGCCCGGUACUGACGCUGAGGUGCGAAAGCGUGGGGAGCAAACAGGAUUAGAUACCCUAGUAGUCC